AGAACUUGUGUUUCUUUUUAACUUGUGGACAAAGACUUAAGGACAACUCCAAAAAAUAUAUUUGCUUUUGCAAUUCAGAACCCAGAACUCACUGUUUAGUGUGAGUUAUGAUACAUAUAAGGCUUAUAUG
ensembl:snoRNA